rnacentral:rRNA from 1 species
UACAGAGGUCUCAAGCGUUGUUCGGAUUCAUUGGGCGUAAAGGGUGCGUAGGCGGCGCGGUAAGUCGGAUGUGAAAUCUCGGAGCUUAACUUCGAAACUGCACUCGAUACUGCCGUGCUUGAGGACUGGAGAGGAGACUGGAAUUUACGGUGUAGCGGUGAAAUGCGUAGAUAUCGUAAGGAAGACCAGUGGCGAAGGCGGGUCUCUGGACAGUUCCUGACGCUGAGGCACGAAGGUCAGGGGGAGCAAAACGGGG